GCCUUCGUGGUGUAGUGGCCAGAACGCUCGACCGGGCAGUAACCGAGAUGUCCUUGGUUCGAUUCCCGGCGAGGGCA
rnacentral:tRNA from 1 species